UAAAUGUUGAGGAAGAUAAUGACGGUACUCAACAAGGAAGUGACGGCUAACUACGUGCCAGCAGCCGCGGUAAAACGUAGGUCACAAGCGUUGUCCGGAAUUACUGGGUGUAAAGGGAGCGCAGGCGGGAAGACAAGUUGGAAGUGAAAUCCAUGGGCUCAACCCAUGAACUGCUUUCAAAACUGUUUUUCUUGAGUAGUGCAGAGGUAGGCGGAAUUCCCGGUGUAGCGGUGGAAUGCGUAGAUAUCGGGAGGAACACCAGUGGCGAAGGCGGCCUACUGGGCACCAACUGACGCUGAGGCUCGAAAGUGUGGGUAGCAAACAGGAUUAGAUACCCUGGUAGUCCACACCGUAAACGAUGAUUACUAGGUGUUGGAGGAUUGACCCCUUCAGUGCCGCAGUUAACACAAUAAGUAAUCCACCUGGGGAGUACGACCGCAAGGUUGAAACUCAAAGGAAUUGACGGGGGCCCGCACAAGCAGUGGAGUAUGUGGUUUAAUUCGACGCAACGCGAAGAACCUUACCAAGUCUUGACAUCCUGCGACGCACAUAGAAAUAUGUGUUUCCUUCGGGACGCAGAGACAGGUGGUGCAUGGUUGUCGUCAGCUCGUGUCGUGAGAUGUUGGGUUAAGUCCCGCAACGAGCGCAACCCUUAUGGUCAGUUACUACGCAAGAGGACUCUGGCCAGACUGCCUUUGACAAA
rnacentral:rRNA from 1 species